GAGCGCGAUAAGGGCAUUUGGUGGAUGCCUUGGCACUAGGAGGCGAUGAAGGACGUAGCACGCUGCGAAAAGCCACGGGGAGCCGCGAGCAGGCUUUGAUCCGUGGAUGUCCGAAUGGGGCAACCCACCCGCAAGGGUAUCAUGAUCUGAAUACAUAGGGUUAUGAGGCGAACCCGGGGAACUGAAACAUCUCAGUACCUGGAGGAAAAGACAUCAAACGAGAUUCCGCUAGUAGUGGCGAGCGAACGCGGAGCAGGCCAGUAGUUUUUGAAGAAGAAGCAGAAGGAUCUGGAAAGGUCCGCCAUAGUGGGUGAUAGUCCCGUAUGCGUAGUGUCUUUGAGAACUCUUGAGUAGGGCGGGGCACGUGAAACCCUGUCUGAACAUGGGGGGACCACCCUCCAAGCCUAAAUACUCCCUAGUGACCGAUAGUGAACAAGUACCGUGAGGGAAAGGUGAAAAGCACCCCGACGAGGGGAGUGAAAGAGACCUGAAACCGAAUGCCUACAAGCAGUCGGAGCCUCUUAUGGGGUGACGGCGUACCUUUUGUAUAAUGGGUCAGCGAGUUUCUGUUUGCAGCGAGCUUAAGCCGGUAGGUGUAGGCGUAGCGAAAGCGAGUCUGAAUAGGGCGACGAGUUGCUGGCAGAAGACCCGAAACCGAGUGAUCUAGCCAUGGCCAGGCUGAAGGUGCGGUAACACGCACUGGAGGGCCGAACCCACGCCUGUUGAAAAAGUCGGGGAUGAGCUGUGGCUAGGGGUGAAAGGCCAAUCAAACUCGGAGAUAGCUGGUUCUCCGCGAAAUCUAUUGAGGUAGACCGUCAGGUGUUGACCCCGGGGGGUAGAGCACUGGAUGGGCUAGGGGGGCCCAAAGCCUUACCAAACCCAACCAAACUCCGAAUACCCGGAAGUUUAGCCUGGCAGACAGACAGUGGGUGCUAAGGUCCAUUGUCGAGAGGGAAACAGCCCAGACCACCAGCUAAGGCCCCUAAAUCGUGGCUAAGUGGGAAAGGAUGUGGGGAUUCCAAAACAACCAGGAGGUUGGCUUAGAAGCAGCCAUCCUUUAAAGAAAGCGUAAUAGCUCACUGGUCUAAUAGAAACCCUGCGCCGAAAAUGUAACGGGGCUCAAGCCACGUGCCGAAGCUGUGGGUGCAUACUAUGUAUGCGCGGUAGCGGAGCGUUCCGUAGGUCUGUGAAGGAGACGGGGUGACCCUCUCUGGAGAUAUCGGAAGUGCGAAUGCUGACAUGAGUAGCGACAAACAGUGCGAGAAACACUGUCGCCGAAAGUCCAAGGGUUCCUGCGCAAGGUUAAUCCACGCAGGGUUAGUCGGCCCCUAAGGCGAGGGCGAAAGCCGUAGUCGAUGGGAAUCAGGUGAAUAUUCCUGAACCUGCCAGAAGUGACGAAUGCGAUAUGUUGUUCAUCCUUAAUGGAUUGGAUGGGCUUUUGGAGCAUUCCAGGAAAUAGCUCUGGCGUAUAGACCGUACCCUAAACCGACACAGGUGGACUGGUAGAGCAUACCAAGGCGCUUGAGAGAACGAUGCUGAAGGAACUAGGCAAAUUACUCGUGUAACUUCGGGAUAAGCGAGACCCGCGCGUGGGCAACCAUGUUCGGGUGGCACAGACCAGGGGGUAGCGACUGUUUAGUAAAAACACAGGACUCUGCGAAGUCGAAAGACGACGUAUAGGGUCUGACGCCUGCCCGGUGCCGGAAGGUUAAGAGGAGGUGUGCAAGCACUGAAUUGAAGCCCCGGUAAACGGCGGCCGUAACUAUAACGGUCCUAAGGUAGCGAAAUUCCUUGUCGGGUAAGUUCCGACCUGCACGAAUGGCGUAACGACUUCCCCGCUGUCUCCAGCAUCGGCUCAGCGAAAUUGAAUUCCCCGUGAAGAUGCGGGGUAUCCGCGGUCAGACGGAAAGACCCUAUGAACCUUUACUGUAGCUUUGCAGUGGCAUCAGAGACAUUCUGUGUAGGAUAGGUGGGAGGCUUUGAAGCGGGGGCGCCAGUUCCCGUGGAGCCAUCCUUGAAAUACCACCCUGAAUUUUUCUGAUGUCUAACCGUGGUCAGUUAGCCUGAUCCGGGACCCUGCAUGGUGGGCAGUUUGACUGGGGCGGUCGCCUCCCAAAGUGUAACGGAGGCGCGCGAUGGUGGGCUCAGGCCGGUCGGAAACCGGCUGUUGAGUGCAAUGGCAUAAGCCCGCCUGACUGCGAGAGUGACAGCUCGAGCAGAGACGAAAGUCGGCCAUAGUGAUCCGGUGGUCCCGCGUGGAAGGGCCAUCGCUCAACGGAUAAAAGGUACUCUAGGGAUAACAGGCUGAUCUCCCCCAAGAGUCCACAUCGACGGGGAGGUUUGGCACCUCGAUGUCGGCUCAUCACAUCCUGGGGCUGGAGCAGGUCCCAAGGGUUCGGCUGUUCGCCGAUUAAAGUGGUACGUGAGCUGGGUUUAGAACGUCGUGAGACAGUUCGGUCCCUAUCUGCCGUGGAUGUUGGAGACUUGAGAGGAUUUGUCCCUAGUACGAGAGGACCGGGAUGAACAUACCUCUGGUGCACCGGUUGUCGCGCCAGCGGCACCGCCGGGUAGCUAAGUAUGGACGGGAUAACCGCUGAAAGCAUCUAAGCGGGAAACCCACCUCAAAACUAGGUCUCCCCAAGGGUCGUGGUAGACCACCACGUUAAUAGGCCAGGUGUGAAAGCGUGGUAACACGUGCAGCUAACUGGUCCUAAUCACCCAAUAGGCUCACUCCUUCACUGUCAGCCCAUAAAGCCGACAGACCGUGCACAGAAAUCAUCCAUGCACACCAAGCAGGCACUCAAUACCUUCUCUUGAAAAACCAACCGAAAUCCACACUCACCCCAAUCAGGGUGGUCUGGAUGACCUGGUGGCUAUGGCGGGG
rnacentral:rRNA from 1 species